CUUGCUUUCUUUGCUGGCGACCGGCGCACGGGUGAGUAACACGUAUCCAACCUGCCCUUUACUCGGGGAUAGCCUUUCGAAAGAAAGAUUAAUACCCGAUAGCAUAAUGAUUCCGCAUGGUUUCAUUAUUAAAGGAUUCCGGUAAAGGAUGGGGAUGCGUUCCAUUAGGUUGUUGGUGAGGUAACGGCCCACCAAGCCUUCGAUGGAUAGGGGUUCUGAGAGGAAGGUCCCCCACACUGGAACCGAGACACGGUCCAA
rnacentral:rRNA from 1 species